rnacentral:rRNA from 1 species
GACGGGACCGCACAAGCGGUGGAUGAUGUGGAUUAAUUCGAUGCAACGCGAAAACCUUACCUACCCUUGACAUGUCCGGAAUCCCGAAGAGAUUUGGGAGUGCUCGCAAGAGAACCGGAACACAGGUGCUGCAUGGCUGUCGUCAGCUCGUGUCGUGAGAUGUUGGGUUAAGUCCCGCAACGAGCGCAACCCUUGUCAUUAGUUGCCAUCAUUUGGUUGGGCACUCUAAUGAGACUGCCGGUGACAAACCGGAGGAAGGUGGGGAUGACGUCAAGUCCUCAUGGCCCUUAUAGGUGGGGCUACACACGUCAUACAAUGGCUGGUACAAAGGGUUGCCAACCCGCGAGGGGGAGCCAAUCCCAUAAAGCCAGUCGUAGUCCGGAUCGCAGUCUGCAACUCGACUGCGUGAAGUCGGAAUCGCUAGUAAUCGUGGAUCAGCAUGUCACGGUGAAUACGUUCCCGGGUCUU